AGUAGGACUUCUAAAUUUAGUAGCUAUAAGUUCUAGUUAAAACCUAGGAGGUAAGCAGUUUGAACCAGUCCAAUUUAUAAAUACACACUGUGUAAUUUCUAAAAAUGUGUGUUUACUCGUAGGAGUUUUUUUCAGUGAUACACAGGACAUACUUACUGAGGAUCCAAAUAUAUUUUAUUUCUACAUGAAAUUUAAGAAACCAAAAGUAAAUAAGCUUAAACCUGUGUUGAGUACUGAUAAUGUUGCUGCAUUUAGAAAUGACCUGGGUAGUCCAUGAAUAACCAUCUAAUUUAACUUAGAAAAACUCUUGAGGGUAUAAUUACUUGAAAAGGUUUUGGAAGUCUUUUUUAUUAAUACGUAUAACUUUUAGUUGUCAAUGGGCCUUCAUUUUAUUCAUUUGUAUGUGGUGCUGAGGAUGGAACCCAGGGCCUCACACGUGCUGGGCAAGCGCUCGACCACUGAGCCCCAGCCCCAGCCCAGUUUUACAUUAUUACUACAAUUGCUCAUUAGCUAUAACCACCAAACAUGACCCUGAAGUUAAAUAGUCAGGUAUUUUAUCAUCAAUCACUUACACUGACCCAGUGAUGUAGGUGUCACCUGUUAAAGAUUCACCCAGGUCACCUGGAGCUGAGAGAGCCUCUGGGUUGGUUAUUUAAAUCAUGAGGGUUCACUGCUGUCCAAGUCAGCUGGUGCCGCCAAGACCUCACAGACACACAGAGACAGAACUGUAGACAGAACCCCACAUGCCUGAACCCUGGGGUCCAUGAAGACACAGGAACCCAUCUUUCAGCUUCCGUGAGAUGUUCAGCCACAGAACUCACUAGUUUAGAAGGACAGUGGGGUCCAAAGGGUGCAGAAAUGGAGCAGGUGGAUCUUUUCCAGGCUAAAGAAGACCAGGUAGGGAGCUUGACCUCUCAGAGCCACAGAGAAGGAGCCCAAGUUCUUCCCAGAGGUGUUCUGGGGUCCUUUAAGCAGGGCAUGCAGAGGAUGGCCAGGGUGA
rnacentral:lncRNA from 1 species